rnacentral:rRNA from 1 species
UACCUACGGGACGCAGCAGUGGGGAAUAUUGCACAAUGGGGGAAACCCUGAUGCAGCAACGCCGCGUGAGGGAAGAAGGUUUUCGGAUUGUAAAGCUCUUUUAGCAGGGAAGAGGAAGGACGGUACCUGCAGAGGAAGCCACGGCUAACUACGUGCCAGCAGCCGCGGAAAUACGUAGGUGGCAAGCGUUGUUCGGAAUAACUGGGCGUAAAGGCUGCGUAGGCGGUUAAACAAGUUAUAUGUUAAAUAUAU